rnacentral:rRNA from 1 species
UACGUAGGGGGCAAGCGUUGUCCGGAUUUAUUGGGCGUAAAGAGCGUGUAGGCGCCAGGUAGGUCCGCUGUGAAAACUCGAGGCUCAACCUCGAGAUGUCGGCGGAAACCGUCUGGCUAGAGUCCGGAAGAGGAGUGUGGAAUUCCUGGUGUAGCGGUGAAAUGCGCAGAUAUCAGGAAGAACACCUAUGGCGAAGGCAGCACUCUGGGACGGUACUGACGCUGAGACGCGAAAGCGUGGGGAGCGAACAGG